rnacentral:rRNA from 1 species
GACGAACGCUGGCGGCGUGCUUAACACAUGCAAGUCGAACGGAAAGGCCCUGCUUUUGUGGGGUGCUCGAGUGGCGAACGGGUGAGUAACACGUGAGUAACCUGCCCUUGACUUUGGGAUAUCUUCAGGAAACUGGGGCUAAUACCGGAUAGGAGCUCCUGCUGCAUGGUGGGGGUUGGAAAGAUUCGGCGGUUGGGGAUGGACUCGCGGCUUAUCAGCUUGUUGGUGGGGUAGUGGCUUACCAAGGCUUUGACGGGUAGCCGGCCUGAGAGGGUGACCGGCCACAUGAGGACUGAGAUACGGCCCAGACUCCUACGUGAGGCAGCAGUGGGAAAUAUUGCACAAUGGGCGGAAGCCUGAUGCAGAAGCGCCGCGAGCGGAAUACCGGCCUUCGGGUUGUAAACCGCUUUCGCCUGUGACGAGGCGUGAGUGACGGUAAUGGGUAAAGAAGCACCGGCUAACUACGUG